rnacentral:rRNA from 1 species
GACGAACGCUGACGGCGUGCUUAACACAUGCAAGUCGAACGGAGUUGCGAACGGGUGAGUAAUACCUGGGAAAUUUGCCUUUGACUUCGGGAUAAUCCUGGGAAACGGGGCUGAUAACCGGUUAGCGCAAGAUGAGCUCGCAGCCUAUCAGCUGGUUGGUGGGGUAAUGGCCUACCAAGGCGUCGACGGGUAGCCGGCCGGAGAGGGUGUACGGCCACAUGGGGACUGAGAUAUGGCCCAGACUCCGACGGGAGGCAGCAGUGGGGAAUAUUGCACAAUGGGCGGAAGCCUGAUGCAGCGACGCCGCGUGGGGGAGGAAGGCCUUCGGGUUGUAAACUCCUUUCGACAGGGACGCGGUACCUGUAUAAGAAGCACCGGCUAACUACGUGCCAGCAGCCGCGGUAAUAC